AUACACAGUGGGCUGGAUGCUGGAUGCAAAGCUCCCUCGUCACAGCCCCAAAGACAGGACUUGACCAUCUCAGUGCAAUGACCCUGUGGUGCCUUCUCCCGAGGACCUAAGAGCCCCCUGAGCGCUUGCAAACACUGCAGACAAAGCGAGCCCUGGCACCAGCUCCCUGCCUGCCUGUUCUGUGAAGGGAGCCUACAAAACUGGCAGCCCCUGCAGUUCUGAGCUGCAGAACUGAUGAGCUGGGGCACCCUGAAACCUGACUCCAAAAUAGCAGCAAACCCAAGGCCAAAAGGAAGUACGGGCUUCUUUGCUUGCGAUUUCUCCUCUCACAGCUUUGGCCUAGAGCCCCUGCACUUAAUCCCCACCCAGCUACCCCAAGGGCCACAGUACAAAGGUGAUUCGUGCCUGGCUCCCUGUGUCUUCUGACACCCCUAAAUCUUUAUCCUUCUAGGACAAGCGAGAAUCCCCCAAAAGCCAAGGUCAUCAUCAAGCCAGGAUGAGGACUGGAGGAGGAGCUGACAGCUCUGCCUCAAAUGGAUUUGGGAGCGAAGGCUUUUUCCAUAAGCUUUGGGGGUAAGUCACAGAGCUACCCCAAAUGUAACUUAGUCUCGGGGUCUCCUUCCUUUUCACCAGCUGUCCCCUUUGCUGGAGGAAGCUUUCCAGCCCAAACGAAGGGCUUAAGAGGAGUCUGGCCAUUCCUGGCAUCCAGUUAGACCUGGAGGAGGUGAACGGAGGAGAAGCCUGAGGGAGGGGUGUGUAUCCGGCCUGGGAAUUCCUCCCUCUCCCUUGCUAGCGCCCCAACCCGCCCUCAUCCUGUUCAGAGAGGGCACUUACAGGCCUCGGAGGCAGGGGAGGGUCUCCUCCUGGGGAACCAUCCCCGUCCAGAUGGUGCCCCCAACCAGCUGCGGCGGCAUGAUCUGGGCGGCUGGUCCAGGGCAUGGGUUGCGGAUCGUGUAGGGAAGAGGGGAACAGCAGUCGAGACCCUACUCCAAGUACGCAUCAAAGACGUCGAGCUCCGAGUCAGCAUCGUAAAGGCCCGAGCCGGGGUCGGAGAGCACGCCGAGGUCCACGAGCGCCUGGUCCAUGUCCUCGGGCAGGAAGACGAGGCCCACGUUGAGGACGAUGUACUCCAUGAGGAAGGCGUAGUACAGGAUCAGCACAUUGACGAAGAACAGGCCCACGUAGAACAUAGAGGGCAGCAGCGGCGGCGGCACGUAGGGGACCAGGGGGCCCAGUGCGUCCAGGUGGGCCGCGACCCGGGCGCCGAGCAUGCAGCGGGUGGCAAGGGCGGCGGCCCGGCGAUCCCGGCGAACUCAGCCGCUGCGGCGCCCGGGCGGCCGGCGAGGGCACAGCGCAGCCAUCCAGGGGUACCCUGGAGCCCGACAGAAGCAGGGCCGGGCUCCAGAUGUCCCCUGGCAAUUGCGCCCCGACCCCCGAAAUGCGCCGGGCGGGUCACCGCACCCCGAGAUGUGCCCCCAAGGAUCUCUCGACCGCCCGGGCGGCGAGGCGGGCCCCCCUGAAGUGGCCCGCGGC
rnacentral:lncRNA from 1 species